rnacentral:tRNA from 1 species
AUUUAAAUAAUUUAAUUUAAAAUAUUGAUUUGUGGUAUCGAAAAUAUGAAUUUUAUUUCAUUUUAAAUU